CACAACAGAUGUUCAAGAGGAUGUUGGGAAACAGCCAGUGCAUUAACACAGCAUCCAGCUUCUUCUUUUGCCUUGCCACGUGAAAAUAAAUGUGGCAACAAGUGCAGUUAUUUCUGCUAUUUAACACCAAUCUCCUAGAGCAAUUUCUGAAAGUGGCUGCUCCCAGACAUUCAAAAGAAGGAAUGAAGAAUUAGAAUAUGAUAGCUAUGUUAACAUCAAAGUGCACAAAUCCUUGGAAAAGUUUCAUUUAGCCCAAGUCCCUCUUGAGCAGUUGGCACCAGCUGUGUGGGAUGCAAACUGAAAAUCUCUACUGGGAGGGUUUGAAAAUCUUACAGCUUUAAACCCACAGUUGAGACAUGAGCACAUCACUGUUUCCAGUCCUGCAAGGGGUGUGGUUGGAAUGAAAAUGCUGCUCCAGGGUCCUGACUGACAAACUUCUGUUUGCUUUAAAAUGGGUCCAGCAGGGCUGUCAGGAGCAGCUGUGCUGUGCCAGGCUGUCCCUUCUUGAGCUGCCAGUAGCAGCAGCGAGG